CAUUUGUGAAUUCCACAUUUCCCCUUGGGAGCGAGGCGUAUGU
rnacentral:ribozyme from 1 species